rnacentral:rRNA from 1 species
UUUAUAUGAGAGUUUGAUCCUGGCUCAGGAUGAACGCCGGCGGUGUGCCUAAUACAUGCAAGUCGUACGCACUGGCCCAACUGAUUGAUGGUGCUUGCACCUGAUUGACGAUGGAUCACCAGUGAGUGGCGGACGGGUGAGUAACACGUAGGUAACCUGCCCCGGAGCGGGGGAUAACAUUUGGAAACAGAUGCUAAUACCGCAUAACAACAAAAGCCACA